CAGAGGGUGCGAGCGUUAAUCGGAUUUACUGGGCGUAAAGCGUGUGUAGGCGGUUUGUUAAGUCGGGUGUGAAAUCCCUGGGCUCAACCUGGGAAUUGCAUUCGAUACUGGCAGGCUAGAGUACGGUAGAGGGCGGCGGAAUUCCGGGUGUAGCGGUGAAAUGCGUAGAUAUCCGGAGGAACACCGAUGGCGAAGGCAACCGCCUGGGCCUGUACUGACGCUGAGACACGAAAGCGUGGGGAGCAAACAGGAUUAGAUACCCUGGUAGUCCACGCCGUAAACGAUGAGAACUUGACGUCGGUUUGCUCUGCGAAUCGGUGUCGAAGCUAACGCGCUAAGUUCUCCGCCUGGGGAGUACGGCCGCAAGGUUG
rnacentral:rRNA from 1 species